UGCCUGAGGGGGCGGCCGUGGCGAGGGGGCGGCGGUGCCGGGGGAUCGCGGCGCUGCCCCAGUGAGAGCCUCGGGAACGGGAUCUGCCCCCUCCCAACUGAGAACCACAGCAUGGGCCAGGCUGGAAGGGACCGCAGCAGGUCAUCUGGUCCAACCUCCCUGCUCGAGCAGGGUUAUCGCAGAGCACAGGAUUGCGUCUGAAUACCUCCAGCGAGGAAGACUCCACACCCUCUCUGGGCAACCUGUUCUGUUGGGCUUCCACAGCUGUGUGAAAUCCAUUCCACACUCUGGCCCAGCAUGGAAAGGAAGACAAGCCAAAGGAAGAAUGACCCAAACCAAGCUGCUGAAGGGCUACUAAUGUGCACAUAUGGUCUGUCUUGACAGCACUCUUGCCACUGACCAUAAAGGUACCUGGGAUGGCCUCAUUAUUCUAAAAUUAGAUCUGAGACGUGUUUUAAUGGACAACAUGGAGUGGGAAGCUGAGAAACAACGCUUCAGAUUAACAUCAUGUACAUCCUCAUGCAACCAUGCUGAGCCCAAAAUAGGAGCAUGUAAUUGUUCACAAGUAUUACAGUCAUGGAGCAGAACAAAAUGUUACUAAUAAAGUGUUCAUAUGUGUUUCCUUAAGCAAGUAAUUAAGCCUGGGCUCAUCACCUCUCAUGCAGGACAUCAGAACAGUCCCAACUGCUAAAAUCUUUUGCUGCCAUAAGCUCCACACAUAGAAACAACAUUCUUGUGGAAUCUUUCAGCUAUCUGGUAGGUGUGAUCUCAGAUGAAUAACACAUACAGGGAGAGAGAAAUCAUGCCCCUUCUUCUGGCCACCCCAAACUAUGGCUCACAAGCCACAA